rnacentral:rRNA from 1 species
AUGUCUUCCUCCUCCUCCUCCGGUGCUUCCCAGACCACCCUCAAUGGGCAGGUCACCGAGAAGCUAACACACACGAACUAUGUGCUCUGGCGCACGCAGGUCACUCCUCAUCUGCGCGGCGCCGGCGUCUUCGGCUACGUCGACGGCACCACACCGGAGCCGGCCAGGCUUCAUGUCACCAAGGACAAGGAUGGCAAAGAAGGCACUGAGCCCAACCCUCUCCACCCAAUCUGGGUCCGGGAGGAUCAACAGGUGCUGGGCUACCUGCUCAGCACCCUCUCCAAGGAGGUACUGAUCGCGGUGACCACGGUCACCACGGCGCACGCGCUCUGGACAGCGGUGGCAGGUACGUUUUCCUCGCAGUCCAUGAGCCGCGUGAAUAAUAUCAGGACGACGCUCAUCAAUGCGCAGAAGGGCAACCAGACGGUUUCCGCCUACUUCGCCUCUCUCCGUGGCCUCGCCGAUGAGCUUGCCGCUGCAGGGAAGGCCAUCCAAGACGACGAACUCAUCUCCUACAUCAUCCACGGCCUCGACGUCGACUACCAGCCCCUCGUCUCCGCCCUCGACGCACGCGUCACGCCAGUCUCCCUCGACGAGCUCUAUGCCAUGCUCAGUAACUUCGACCAGCGCAUGGCCCAGUUCAAUCACUCGGGCAGCGGCGGCUUCCGCUCCUCCGCCAACGCCGCGGUGCGUGGCCGUGGUGGUGGAUCACGUGGCCGUAGCUCCUCUCACGCCAAGGGGCGAUCUGGCGGACACGGUCGUGGCGGCAACAGCGGCGGCGGCCAUAGCUGCUCUGGUGCAUCUCGCGGUCGUCGUGGCGGCGGUCCACCUCGGGCCCGACUGGAGCUGCCUCGCUGCCAAAUUUGCAGUAAUCCAGGGCACACCGCGAAGGAUUGCUGGUACCGUUAUGAUGAAGACGACGAGGACUCCCAAGAUGAAGAAAAAGUGGCUGCCGCAGUUGAUGGAUCCUACGGCAUCGACACAAAUUGGUACGUCGAUAGCGGCGCCACCAAUCACAUCACCAAUGAACUUGAGAAGGUCAAGAUGAAAGACAAAUAUCGUGGCAAAGAUCACAUCCACACGGCAAGUGGAGAAGGCCACGAAGAAGGUUCUCUAUUGAGGUAG